rnacentral:rRNA from 1 species
AAGUCAUUGGGAUUAAUUUAUUUAAAACCCAAAGGCGUAAUUAACUUAAAUUUUUAUAUAUGUAAAUAUAUAAUGGGAUUAGUUAUUAAUCUAUUUAUAGAUUAUUAAUUCAAUCCCGGGGCGUUCUAUAUAGUUAUGUUUAAAUAAUAUUUAUAUUAUUUUAAACCUCUAACUGGAGCGUACCUUGAGCAUAUAUGCUGUGACCCGAAAGAUGGUGAACUAUACUUGAUCAGGUUGAAGUCAGGGGAAACCCUGAUGGAAGACCGAAACAGUUCUGACGUGCAAAUCGAUUGUCAGAAUUGAGUAUAGGGGCGUAAGACUAAUCGAACCAUCUAGUAGCUGGUUCCCUCCGAAGUUUCCCUCAGGAUAGCUGGUGCAUUUAAGAAUUAUGUAAAAUAAUCCUAUCUGGUAAAGCGAAUGAUUAGAGGCCUUAGGGUCGAAACGACUUUAACCUAUUCUCAAACUUUAAAUGGGUAAGAACCUAACCUUUCUUGAUAUGAAGGUUGAGGUUGUGAUAUAAUGUGCCCAGUGGGCCACUUUUGGUAAGCAGAACUGGCGCUGUGGGAUGAACCAAACGUAAUGUUACGGUGCCCAAAUUAACAACUCAUACAGAUACCAUGAAAGGCGUUGGUUGCUUAAAACAGCAGGACGGUGGACAUGGAAGUCGUAAUCCGCUAAGGAGUGUGUAACAACUCACCUGCCGAAGCAACUAGCCCUUAAAAUGGAUGGCGCUUAAGUUGUAUACCUAUACAUUACCGCUAAAGUAAAUGAUUUAUAUUCAAUUUCGGUUGAAUUUUAAAUUUUCAAACUUUAGUGAGUAGGAGGGUACAAUGGUGUGCACAGAAGUGUUUGGCGAAAGCCUGCAUGGAGCCGCCAUUGGCACAGAUCUUGGUGGUAGUAGCAAAUAAUCGAAUGAGACCUUGGAGGACUGAAGUGGAGAAGGGUUUCGUGUGAACAGUGGUUGAUCACGAGUUAGUCGGUCCUAAGUUUAAGGCGAAAGCUGAAAAUUUUCCAGUUAUAAUUAAAUAAUUUUAUAUAAAUUUUAAAGUAUUUAAACACUGGAUUACUUUUGAACGAAAGGGAAUACGGUUCCAAUUCCGUAACCUGUUGAGUAUCCGUUUGUUAUUAAAAAUGGGCCAUGUGCUCAUCCUGGUAACAGGAACGACCAUAAAGAAGCCGUCGAGAGAUAUCGGAAGAGUUUUCUUUUCUGUUUUAUAGUCGUAUUACCAUGGAAGUCUUUCGAAGAGAGAUAUGGUAGAUGGACUAGAAGAGCAUGACAUUUACUGUUGUGUCGAUAUUUUCUCCUCGGACCUUGAAAAUUUAUGGUGGGGUCACGCAAAUUUCUCAACAGGCCGUACCGAUAUCCGCAGCUGGUCUCCAAGGUGAAGAGUCUCUAGUCGAUAGAAUAAUGUAGGUAAGGGAAGUCGGCAAAUUAGAUCCGUAACUUCGGGAUAAGGAUUGGCUCUGAAGAUUGAGAUAGUCGGGCUUGAUUGGGAAGCAAUAAUAUGGUUUAUGUACUCGUUCUGGAUAAAUAAAGAUUUUCGGAUCUUGUUCCCCGGAUAGUAGUUACGUAACCAAUUGUGGAACUUUCUUGCUAAAAUUUUUAUUGAAUUAUCGAAAGAUAUGUUCUUUUUUAAAUUAUAACGAUUAUCAAUUAACAAUCAAUUCAGAACUGGCACGGACUUGGAGAAUCCGACUGUCUAAUUAAAACAAAGCAUUGUGAUGGCCCUAGCGGGUGUUGACACAAUGUGAUUUCUGCCCAGUGCUCUGAAUGUCAACGUGAAGAAAUUCAAGUAAGCGCGGGUCAACGGCGGGAGUAACUAUGACUCUCUUAAGGUAGCCAAAUGCCUCGUCAUCUAAUUAGUGACGCGCAUGAAUGGAUUAACGAGAUUCUCGCUGUCCCUAUCUACUAUCUAGCGAAACCACAGCCAAGGGAACGGGCUUGGAAGAAUUAGCGGGGAAAGAAGACCCUGCUGAGCUUGACUCUAGUCUGGCAGUGUAAGGAGACAUAAGAGGUGUAGCAUAAGUGGGAGAUGUAAACUUUAUGUUUCGUCGCCAAUGAAAUACCACUACUCUUAUCGUUUCCUUACUUACUUGAUUUAAGUGGAACGUGUAUCAUUUCCUAGCCAUUAUAAGGAUAUAUUUUAUAUAUCUUAUGGUAUUGGGUCUUGAUGCAAGCUUCUUGAUCAAAGUAUCACGAGUUUGUUAUAUAAUUGUAAACAAAUUUUAAUAAAGCAAUGAUAUUAUUUCGAUGUUAUUGUUAAAAUUGAAAUUUGGUAUAACUCCAACCACUCAGAUAUGAUCCAAUUCAAGGACAUUGCCAGGUGGGGAGUUUGACUGGGGCGGUACAUCUCUCAAAUAAUAACGGAGGUGUCCCAAGGCCAGCUCAGUGCGGACAGAAACCACACAUAGAGCAAAAGGGCAAAUGCUGACUUGAUCUCGGUGUUCAGUACACACAGAGACAGCAAAAGCUCGGCCUAUCGAUCCUUUUGGUUUAAAGAGUUUUUAACAAGAGGUGUCAGAAAAGUUACCAAAGGGAUAACUGGCUUGUGGCGGCCAAGCGUUCAUAGCGACGUCGCUUUUUGAUCCUUCGAUGUCGGCUCUUCCUAUCAUUGUGAAGCAAAAUUCACCAAGCGUUGGAUUGUUCACCCAUGCAAGGGAACGUGAGCUGGGUUUAGACCGUCGUGAGACAGGUUAGUUUUACCCUCCUGAUGACAAUUGUUGUUGCGACAGCAUUCCUGCGUAGUACGAGAGGAACCGCAGGUACGGACCAAUGGCACAAUACUUGUUCGAGCGAACAGUGGUAUGAUGCUACGUCCGUUGGAUUAUGCCUGAACGCCUCUAAGGUCGUAUCCGUGCUGGACUGCAAUGAUAAAAAUGGGGCAAUUGCUUUGUAUGGCUUCUAAACCAUUUAAAGUUUAUAAUGAAAAUUUAUAAACGACAAUGGAUGUGAUGCCAAUGUUUCAAUUAACAUAGCAAAUUUGGGAGGAUUAAAUAUCACCUGAGUGCCAAGCUAGUUAAUUGUUAAAACAUUAUUUAAUACGAUGACAAUGCCUAGAAUCAAUUGUAAACGACUUUUGUAACGGGAA